rnacentral:lncRNA from 1 species
AUAGCUGUUGCAUCAGUAAGUUCCUGACCAUCUUGACCAUAAAGACAGAGAACUUUCAGAUAGCAUCAUGUGCCCUCUGCAGCCCAUUCCCCCUACCGCCACCAGACGCUAGGCACUGCAUGGGAACAGAAGAUAUAGACAGGAAAUGCCCAAGGAACCGUUCUCUGGAUAAGAAUCUGCCUACCGUUGAGUUUUCAAUAGAGGAGAAACAGUAAUGCCCUUUGGGUCUGGAUCUUUCUGUUUGAUACCAGUACAGGCAAUCAUUAAGGUACAUGAAGACCAGGAACAAGCCUUGUCCUGACGCCAUAACCUCUCGGUGGAUCCGCACAUGGUAAGCCCACAGCAGAAUUUGAUACCCUGCUGCCCUACU